rnacentral:pre_miRNA from 1 species
AAAUGCGACAUCACCCAAUAAGUGUUCGUCUGUUCACUAUCUACUAGACGAACACUGAUUGGGUGAUGUCGCAU